AUUGCACCCCUUGGUAUUCCGGGGGGUACGCCUGUUCGAGCGCCAUCA
rnacentral:rRNA from 1 species